GAUGAACGCUGACAGAAUGCUUAACACAUGCAAGUCUUUGGCGAAGCUGUGCUUGCACAGCCUAGCCAAGGCGGACGGGUGAGUAACGCGUAAGGAACUUGCCCUGCAGUCAGGGAUAACAGACGGAAACGACUGAUAAGACCUGGUAAAGUCAGGCGGACUCACGUCCAGCCUGAUGAAAAGAGAUGCUGCAGGAGAGCCUUGCGUCCUAUUAGCUUGUUGGUGGGGUAACGGCCCACCAAGGCGAUGAUAGGUAGCCGGCCUGAGAGGGUGGACGGCCACAAGGGGACUGAGGUACGGCCCUUACUCCUACGGGAGGCAGCAGUGGGGAAUAUUGGACAAUGGGGGCAACCCUGAUCCAGCAAUUCUGUGUGCACGAUGAAGGUUUUCGGAUUGUAAAGUGCUUUCAGCAGGGAAGAAAAAAAUGACGGUACCUGCAGAAGAAGCGACGGCUAAAUACGU
rnacentral:rRNA from 1 species